CCUACGGGAGGCAGCAGUAGGGAAUAUUGCUCAAUGGGGGAAACCCUGAAGCAGCAACGCCGCGUGCAGGAUGACGGCCCUACGGGUUGUAAACUGCUUUUAUACGGGAAUAACGCGCCUUACGUGUAGGGCUUUGCAUGUACCGUAUGAAUAAGGACCGGCUAAUUCCGUGCCAGCAGCCGCGGUAAUACGGAAGGUCCGGGCGUUAUCCGGAUUUAUUGGGUUUAAAGGGAGCGUAGGCCGCAUGUCAAGCGUGCUGUGAAAUUUCCGGGCUCAACCCGGGCCUUGCAGCGCGAACUGGCGUGCGUGAGUCCGCGGAAAGCAGGCGGAAUUCGUCGUGUAGCGGUGAAAUGCUUAGAUAUGACGAAGAACCCCGAUUGCGAAGGCAGCUUGCUGCAGCGGAACUGACGCUGAGGCACGAAAGCGUGGGUAUCGAACAGGAUUAGAUACCCGGGUAGUC
rnacentral:rRNA from 1 species